AAGAGUCCAUAAUUAUAUCACAACAAAGUCAUGAUGAGCAGUGUUUUGUACUAGAAAAAAGANUUCUGCACAUCCCUUUUAUUUCACCUGUUUGUUGAGAGAACUGAGCAGAAUUAUAGGGAAGAAANAUCUCUUUUCAUUUUGUAAAAGGAAAAAUAGUAACAGUCAGAAAGACACACAUAGUACUUAACAUAGGUCAUGACAGCAUCUAAUAAUACAUUGCCUUUAAUUCCCAUCAACACCCUUCUCAACUUCUCACUCACUGUUUCCCUUCAUUUACUAAUUCUAAUCAUAUCAAAAAUACUAUUCUUAUUACUUUUAUAGCUUCUUC
rnacentral:lncRNA from 1 species